GUGAGGAAUAUUGGUCAAUGGGCGGGAGCCUGAACCAGCCAAGUCGCGUGAAGGAAGAAGGAUCUAUGGUUCGUAAACUUCUUUUGCAGGGGAAUAAAGUGCAGGACGUGUCCUGUUUUGUAUGUACCCUGAGAAUAAGGAUCGGCUAACUCCGUGCCAGCAGCUGCGGUAAUACGGAGGAUCCGAGCGUUAUCCGGAUUUAUUGGGUUUAAAGGGUGCGUAGGUGGUUUGAUAAGUCAGCGGUGAAAGUUUGCAGCUUAACUGUAAAAAUGCCGUUGAAACUGUCGGACUUGAGUGUAAAUGAGGUAGGCGGAAUGCGUGGUGUAGCGGUGAAAUGCAUAGAUAUCACGCAGAACUCCGAUUGCGAAGGCAGCUUACUAAGCUACAACUGACACUGAAGCACGAAAGCGUGGGGAUCAAACAGGAUUAGAUACCCGUGUAGUCC
rnacentral:rRNA from 1 species